rnacentral:snRNA from 1 species
AGCUUUGCGCAGCAGCAGUAUCGUAGCCAAUGAGGUUCAUCUGAGGCACGAUUAUUGCUACUUGAAAACUUCUCAGAACUGUACAUUACACCUGUUCCUCUUUCCUUAGAGGCAACUUCUGUAACCCCAGAUA